rnacentral:tRNA from 1 species
AUCUUUCUAGUAUAAAGCUAGUAUGUGUGACUUCCAAUCACUAGGACCUGGUUAAAUCCCAGGGAAAGAUA